UUGCAGGCUGUCAUGCCAUGCACCCAUUUUACAGAUCCCACUGACAUUAUACACAGCCAAGGAAAUGAGUCAGUAUUAGUAUCAACAGUGAUGCAUCGGGUAACAUUGCCAUCUCACAACUCAAAUUCCAUCAACUCAAAUUCCAAGUUCCCAAUUCCAACCAUCAACUCGGGCUACUGACUGUCCAUGUAGGUUUACUCUGGGUUCAACAGUUUCCUCCCACCCCCAGAAAUAUGCUAUUAGGUGGAUCGGUUAUGAUAAAUUGCCCCUAGGUGUGAAUGAGUGUGUGAAUAAGUGUGCGUUCAUGAUGGACUGAUGUCCCAUCCAGGGCAUAUUCCCUCCACACAGCCAAUGUUCCCAGGGUAGGCUCUGGAUCAGGCAUGGAUAAAGCAAUUAUUGAAGGAAGGUGUGAUGACUAAGUCUCAUGUGAAUAAAGAGGAAAAACUAUUUUGUACGCUAGAGGCAUCCUUUAAGACUCAACACCUUCUGUAAGAUUGGUUUCUUCCAGUUAAGGCAAAGAAAUGUUUGGCAAGGACAUUCAACCUCUGGCAUUUGCUCACCAGACUUUAAAGCACUACACAUGUUACUCCUGAGAUACCAGUGAUCCUGACCCCUUCUGACCUCCCGAGCUGCCCAAUUCAUCUUGAUGCCCUACUUCUAGUUGGAGUUCUCAGCAAUUGGAAGUCACUUAUUGCUGCUCAGGAUGGCCCCACAUGGUACAGCCUAAAGAUCAUUGAGAUUACUGAGGAUGAUACCACUUAAAAUCCAUAAAGAUGGCUUUGUACCUCAAUUCAUAUGAACAGGUAUGCUAUGAUGACUUAGGACUACAAUUGCUAUGAUAGCAUUAGGACUGCAAUUGCCGCAAACAAUUUUGCACUCAAGUCUCCAUCAAUGAACAGUGGAUAAGUUCAACAAUAUAGACUUCAUGUAAAACUGUAAUGAAUUUUCUGGUUACACAACUGCACUAUUUGACCAUGUAGUAUUAGCACAUUUAUAGAAGGGAUUUAUUUAUAAUUAUACUAUCUGAUGUCACCCACAUGAGGAUAGGUUCCCUUUUGAGUCUGGUUCUUCUCAAGGUUUCUUCCUCAUAUCAUCUCAGAGAGUUUUUCCUUGCCACCGUCACCUCUGGCUUGCUCAUUAUGGAUAAAUUCAUACAUUUAAAAUCUAUAUGCUGAAUUUAUAUAUUUCUGUGAAGCUGCUUUGGGACAAUUUCUAUUGUUAAAAGCACUAUAUAAAUAAAACUGAAUUGAAUUGAAUUUAUGCUAUAGCAUACAAAGACAUUGUGGACAAGUGUAUGCUUCUAACUUUGUGGUGGUGCUUUUAGGAAAAUCCUUUUCUGUUCCAGCAUGACAAUGCCCCUAUGCACAAAAUGAGGUCCAUAAAAACACGUUCCCUUUCAAAGGGAACUCAAUGUUUGGCAAGCUGCACACCGUGGGAAGUGCCCUCACACGUGACUGGUAUCUGAAAUCUGUGUGAAAUCUUGCCAAUUUAUAGGUCUGCCGUGGUCAGGUGAUAUGGCAAUUUUGCACGUUACCUGACUAUAAAACAGCACCUGUUAACCAUGUCAUCAGCCUUAUUACUUCAGCAAAAGACUGUGUCUGUUAUUUGUGUGAACAUUCGCAAAAAAAAGAAAAGUAUGAGUCAGAAGGAGUUCGGGAAGUGUGUCAUGUCUUGCUCCCAUUUCAUUACAGGGGACAGACAGACAAACUUUCUGUGUGAAGUGUCUGGAGCAUGCUGCAGCAGCCCUUGAGGGGGCUGACUAUGCACAUUGUGAAUGCAUUUGAGUCAUUGAGUCAUGCAUUUGAGGCGGCUCCACUUUGGCUCGCUCUCUUCUCAGAUGAAGGGAGUUGGGUUUCGGAGCCUCGCAGAUCAGGUCCGGCUGCUGCCAGGACAGCCAGCCAGCUCAGGUCCUGGGGAUCCUACAUGGAUCUGGAAGAGGAGCUUGAGACGAGCUCAGCUCUUGCUCUAUCUUCCCGGUCCAACUCUCAGCCAGAAUUUGGAGCUCCUUCACACCGCAGAAAACUCCCCUAUUUCCCAAAAGUACAUGACGAAAUAUUGCACUUCUGAGGAAAACCAUACACUAGCCAUGUUUAUAACCCCGCAACGUCAGAUUAUUCGGCCAUUCUGGGGAAAUAACAGCACGGGUAUUUGGCUAUGCCAAAGGUGGAAGAGGCACUUGUGAGCUUCCUCUCUCCAUCGAUGGCAGAAAAUUUUGCAGGGCCUGCUUUGCCAUCCAAGCCAUGUAAGGUCACCUCAGCAUUGGUUGGCAAAGCAUAUGUGGCAGCGGGUCUCGCAUGUGGGUCACUGCAUACAAUGACAGCAUUGCAGGCCUACCAAGCAGAUCUGCUGAGUGAGCUCGACAGCAGGGAGAGAAUUGGGAAUUAGGCAGUGGCAGAGCUUUGCUGCACCACAGAUUUGUCUCUUCAGGCAACCAAGCAAAUGGCCCAUCAUAUCGGCUGUUCAGUGGGUGGAGAUGCAUCUAUGGCUCAAACUCUCAGGGAUGGGGGAUAAGGAUAAGGUCUCCCUGCUGGACACCCCUGUUCAACCUUCCGGCCUGUUCAGUGGCAUAGUUAACACCAUUGCCAACAGGUUUUGCGAAGUGAAACAAAAAUCGGCGGCAUUCAGACAGUUCCUUCCCCAUCAUGUCAAGUUCGGGCCAGCACUAGUGUGAGGGAGGCACAGAAGGUGAGUGUGGCAGCCUGCCUCGCACCAGGGAGAGCCAGGGGGACCAGGCAGCCACAGUCGCAGCCUGCUGGUAGGCCUCAUCUGAGAAUGAUCAGAAAUGCCAUGCAGACAAAGAAGGAGCCCGACGUUAGUGCAGGAAGUAAGAUCCCUCUUUCCCUGAGGGAGGGAGGGAGGUUUUUACAGUUGUUAUUUCCUGGUCUGCAAAAAAAGAUGGGAAUAUGCAACCAAUUUUAUAUCUGUGCCAUCUGAACUGUACUCUUCAGACAUACAGGUUCAAGAUGUUGACACUCAAACUUAUCGUUCCACAGAUUCAGUCUGAGUAUGAAACCCCUGAGAGUAAUCAGUGUCAAAUGGUAAUGCCUACGUGCGCUGAAAAUUUGGAGGUGUCCCCAGUUUCAAGCCUUGGGUCACACUCUUGGUGUGUCUCCUUAUCGCACGAUGGUAAUGACAGAUGCCUCCCUCAUGGGCUGGGGUGCAGUCAUAGAUGGCUGUCCAGCUCACUGUCUCUGGAGCGGCCCCCAUCUGGAGUUCCAUAUAAAUUGCCUAGAAAUGCAGGCCAUAUUUCUAGCAUUGAAAUUCUUUCUCCUCAAUUGAAAUGUCACCAUGUGUUAGUUGUGACAUGCAACAAAGUGGUGGUCUCAUAUAUCAGCCACCAGGAAGGGUUAUGUUCAAGCUGCCUGUUCAGGCAGGUGCAAUUAAUUCUUCUCUGGGGGGAGGGAAAGUUUGUGUCAGUGAGUUCAAUGUAAAUUCCAGGCAGACAUCCUGUCAAGGCAGGGGGUGAGGCCCGGGGAUUGGAGGCUCCAUCCACAAGUGGUGAAGUUUGUAGGGUGGAGGUUCGGCCAAGCGGAAGCGGAUGUGUUUGCCUCUGAGGAGAAAACACACUGCCUGCUGUGGUUUCGCCCUCACUCCUCCCGAACUGUUGGGGCUGGAUGCCAUGGUACACAGGUGGUCGAGGUCACAUCUGUACGUUUUUCUCCCAAUCGCUCUGCUCCCUGAAGUUCCAGCAAGAGUUCACCAAGAUCGUCUACGUCUGCUGCUAGUAGCACCUUAUUGGUCAGCUCAAAUAUGCUUCUCAGAGAUAAUAUCCUGCUAGAUGGCACUCCCUGGGAGAUUCCCAUUUGCAGGGAUUUACUUUCUCAAGCCAGAGGGUUGAUUUAUCACCCCCGGAUGGAGCUAUGGAAACUGUGGGGCUGGCCGCUGAGAGGCACCAGGUCAUAGAUUCCGGUCUCUCAACUAAGGCUGUAGAGACCAUGUUGAAUGCUAGAGCAUCAUCCAUAAGAAAACUGUAUGUGCUCAAGUGGCGACAUUUUGUCUCGUGGUGUGAGGAACGUCAGUUAGACCCAGUAAACUGCGCAAUAGCUACCGUCCGGGAGAUCUCAGCAGGGUUUACUCCUUCUACAAUCAGGGUCUACGUGGCCACCAUUUCAGCCAGCCAUGCCCCUAUUUAUGGAGCCACCAUGGGGCAACAUCCUCUAAUAUCGAGGUUUAUGCAUGGUGCCAAGCAGACCACACAUUUCUGUUAGGCGCCCCAUUUGAGCCCUUAGAGUCAGCCUCAGAGAAGCUUCUUACACUAAAGGUAGCUCUUUUGCUGGCCCUGACACCUCUCAAGCGAGUAGGAAUUCCUUCUACAAGCUGUCUCUUUUCCCCUUCCAGCCUUGACUUUGCCCCUGGAUUAGUCCAGGCCUUCCUAUAUCCUAGGCCGGAUUAUAUUCCUAAAGUGCCUACAUCUGCUGCCCAGCUGGUAGUGUUGCAGGCUUUCUGCCCUCCUCUGUUCCUCACACCGGAAUAUGAAAAAUUGCACCUACUGUGUCCAGUAAGGGUUCUCUGUACUUAUGUCCACCACUCUGGCUAGUGGUGUAAGUCAAAGCAGUUGCUGGUCUGCUUUGGUGGCGACAGUAGAGGUGAUACUGUGUCAAAGCAGUGCAUCUCUAAUUGGAUAGUGUAAGCAAUCUCUAUCGCUUAUGGGGUGCGUGGUCUCGCGACGCCUCUGGGCAUAAGGGCUCAUUCCACUAGGGGGGGUCACCUCCUCGAAGGCUUUAUCCAAAGGAGUACCUUUACAGGAUGUGUGCGCUGUGGCGGGUUGGUCUAUAUUCAUUCGGUAUUACAAUUUGGACAUGCAUUUCACCCUGGGCUUGAGUGUCCUUCGGACUUGUAUCUUUUUGAACAGGCCAUACCCUCAAUAUGACAGAGUGGGUAUUCUUGUUCCCACAGCCUGAAGCUCACACAAUGAUGAGUUCCCUUUGACAAGGAACAUCUAGGUUACACAUGUAACCCUGUUCCCUGAGAAGGGAAUGGGACAUUGCGUAGCAUUGUCAUACUGGGGCAUGCAUGUGAAUUGUAUCUUCGCUUCAGAUAAUAGAGGCUGAUAACGUGGUUCACAGGUGCCAUUUCAAAUUCAAGUGAUGCAUAAAAUUGCCAUGUCACCUGACCACGGCAGGCCUAUGAAUAGGCGUAAUUUCAGACAGACUUCAGAUACCGGUCACGCGCAAGGGCACUUCCCACAGCAUGAAGCUCAUGCAACGUUUCGUUCUCUUCUCAAGGAACAGGGUUACAUGCGUAACCCAGAUGUUUUGAUGUGUGUGGUGUGGAGGACAGAGAGCCCUGUGCUUAACUGCACUGAACACUUUUGGGAUGUACUGGAACAUUGAUUGUGAGCCAGGCCUUCUCAUUCAACAUGAAUGCUGGGUCUAAAAAAGUUUGAGAUCCAUGGUCAAAGUGGAAAACCUUGAACACUCCACACUGAAAAACAUGAAAUAAAAUAACAAUAUGUUUGCAUUUAAAUUUUCUGAUGUGUUUAGUGAUUCUGGUGCCAAUUUUGCUAUUGUAUUGUUCUCAUUAAAAAUAUGUGGCUGUCUGCUACUCUGCCAUCACAGGGGGACAUAUCACUGUUGUUGCCAAAAAACAAAAGAGCUUUUUCUCUUACUCAUAAUUUUUCAUCUAGGUUCACUGUCAUUUUAAUGACAAAUAUAAAGUGGACUCAGAGAUCCAGUGUCAUAUCACAGCCAACCAGCAACUCCAUUUCCCAAGAGGCACCACUAACUACAACAUGGCCGCUGAGGACUACACUUCCCGCACAUGUUCACCUUCGCACUAACUACACACACCUGCAACCAAUCUCACACUCAGCCCAUACACAGUAUUGAAGGACUUUGUGAACACUCAGACUUUGCGAAGUAAAUGUUCAGUUGACUUGUUCUCUGCCAUUAUCCAAGCCUUACUGUUGUGGUUUGCCAAAGUGACUUUUGACCAUUGUUUUCAUUCUCUACCUUGCCUAGUUUUGUCUGUUUGCCUGAUCGCCUGACCCCUGCCUGUUUAUCGA